AUUGAACGCUGGCGGCAGGCCUAACACAUGCAAGUCGAACGAGUGGCGGACGGGUGAGUAAUGUCUGGGAAACUGCCUGAUGGAGGGGGAUAACUACUGGAAACGGUAGCUAAUACCGCAUACCAUCGGAUGUGCCCAGAUGGGAUUAGCUAGUGGGUGGGGUAACGGCUUACCUAGGCGACGAUCCCUAGCGGGUCUGAGAGGAGGACCAGCCAAACUGGAACUGAGACACGGGCCAGACUCCUACGGGAGGAAGCAGUGGGGAAUAUUGCACAAUGGGAGCAAGCCUGAUGCAGCCAUGCCGCGUGUGUGAAGAAGGCCUUAGGGUUGUAAAGCACUUUCAGCGGGGAGGCGUUACCCGCAGAAGAAGCACCGGCUAACUCCGUGCCAGCAGCCGCGGUAAUAC
rnacentral:rRNA from 1 species